rnacentral:piRNA from 1 species
UGCAGCAUUGUCUUUGUGCUCCAAGAGAAGCC